rnacentral:rRNA from 1 species
UCUACCUACGGGGGGCAGCAGUGGGGGAUAUUGCACAAUGGGGGAAACCCUGAUGCAGCGACGCCGCGUGAGUGAAGAAGUAUUUCGGUAUGUAAAGCUCUAUCAGCAGGGAAGAAAAUGACAGUACCUGACCAAGAAGCCCCGGCUAACUACGUGCCAGCAGCCGCGGUAAUACGUAGGGAGCAAGCGUUAUCCGGAUUUACUGGGUGUAAAGGGCGUGUAGGCGGGCUUGUAAGUCAGAAGUGAAAUCUGGGGGCUUAACCCCCAAACUGCUUUUGAAACUGCGGGUCUU